AUCACCUGGGAAUGUUGUUAAAAUGCAGAUUCUGAUUCAGCAGGUCUGAGAUGGAGAUUCUACAUUUUUAAAAAGCUCCCAGGUGAUGUCAU
rnacentral:pre_miRNA from 1 species